CCUACGGGUGGCAGCAGUGGGGAAUAUUGCACAAUGGGCGGAAGCCUGAUGCAGCGACGCCGCGUGAGGGAUGACGGCUUUCGGGUUGUAAACCUCUUUCAGCACCGACGAAGCGAGAGUGACGGUAGGUGCAGAAGAAGCGCCGGCCAACUACGUGCCAGCAGCCGCGGUAAGACGUAGGGCGCGAGCGUUGUCCGGAUUUAUUGGGCGUAAAGAGCUCGUAGGCGGCUUGUCGCGUCGGCUGUGAAAUCCCGUGGCUCAACUGCGGGCUGGCA
rnacentral:rRNA from 1 species